rnacentral:rRNA from 1 species
CAGCAGCCGCGGUAAUACGGGAGUGGCAAGCGUUAUCCGGAAUUAUUGGGCGUAAAGCGUCCGCAGGCGGCCUUGAAAGUCUGUCGUUAAAGCGUGGAGCUUAACUCCAUUUCGGCGGUGGAAACUACAAGGCUUGAGUGUGGUAGGGGCAGAGGGAAUUCCCGGUGUAGCGGUGAAAUGCGUAGAUAUCGGGAAGAACACCAGUGGCGAAGGCGCUCUGCUGGGCCAUAACUGACGCUCAUGGACGAAAGCUAGGGGAGCGAAAGGGAUUAGAUACCCCUGUAGUCCUAGCCGUAAACGAUGAACACUAGGUGUCGGGGGAAUCGACCCCCUCGGUGUCGUAGCUAACGCGUUAAGUGUUCCGCCUGGGGAGUACGCACGCAAGUGUGAAACUCAAAGGAAUUGACGGGGGCCCGCACAAGCGGUGGAGUAUGUGGUUUAAUUCGAUGCAACGCGAAGAACCUUACCAGGGUUUGCAUCCUGCGAAUCCUUGGAAACUUGGGAGUGCCUUCGGAGCGCAGAGACAGGUGGUGCAUGGCUGUCGUCAGCUCUGUCGUGAGAUGUGGGUAAGUCCGCACGAGCGCAACCCACGUCUUUAGUUGCCAGCAUUAGUUGGCACUCUAGAGAGACCGCGGUGAUAAACCUGAGGAAGGUGUGGAUGACGUCA